GUAAAGGUCGGGUUUCAGGAGAAUGGUGAGGAAUGGGAUGAUGACUAGAGAGGCAGUCGAGCUGGCAGAGGAUAGAGGGACAGAGAGCCAGUCAGGGCGGCUCUCACGAGCGGGACCACCUGCUCCUCCUCCUGACCAUGGCUGGAGCCUGGGUCCCUGAAGUCACCAGACCUGCAGUUCUGUUGAUUUUUGACACAGGAUCAAAGAAGCCCAUGCUCCUUCAACCAGAGCUGAGACCUGCACCAGUGCUGGAGAGCAAGAAUUCCAAACUUCAAAACUAAGCAGUCUCUGAAGAAUGGAGAUGGCAGGCGUUCUGCUCCCUUACAGCAGCUGGUAGAAUCAAGACCCAUGGGUCCAUGGAGGAAAAGGGGAAGAGCCUCUGUCCUUUGGACCCCUGAUCCCGGGGUUUCCUCUCACACUCCCAUCAUCGCCGUCUCCUCUGUGUGCUGUGCUUAUCAGCCCUGUGGGCUCCAUGGACAUCUCAUGUGCCUGGGAGGCUGCUCUCCUUGUCCUGUGGAUCCAGUUCUUGGCAGCCCCACUCUCAGGAGCACAGGAGUCCUGAGAGCCUCCUUCUGCCCAUCCAGAUGCCCACACACCUGACCAGGAGUGCACUGCUUGUUCUGACAUAAAAAAUGUGAGUUUUCUUCAGUUGUCUCUCGAUGUUGUCUUAUUUAAUAAAGAAACAGCCUUCAGCCAUGCCAGGCAGCCAUGGACUGGAAGCUUCUGCAGCUUGCUCGGGUAGAGCUGUUCCUCCUGGAGCCCUAACAAAGCCCUCCGUUCCCCUUAUGAACCCCCUGCCAUGGCCAUCUUCAGCUCCCCUUGGGGACUGUUCCAGAGAACAAAUCUAAGGACAGAGGCUGAACCUCCCUGGAGCAAGCCUGGCUCUACGGGUGGCUGACUCCCUUAGAGGAGCCGUGCUCCGAGUUUUCAGAAGGAAACUGCAUGUCUUUAAUACAAACACAGGUGUGUCUGUAAUGUUUCUAAAUGGAAAAGGAGUGUUUGCCCUCAGGCAUCCUUGAUGGGACAAUGGACAGCAGCCUCGGUGAAGGUGUGGCUGGGACUCCCAGGGUGUCUGCUCCCUCUGUGUAUGGGCUGGGCUCCCUAAUCCCUGCAAGGAGUCCCAAAGCCAUGGAGUAGAGAGCCUUUGCAGCUGCCCUAGAGCCUGAGAGGCC
rnacentral:lncRNA from 1 species